UGCUACCAGUGCCUUCUUGAUGAAUCUGAUAAAUAAACAAUGUAUAAGUUAUAUCCUAUCAGCUUUUCCCAACCAACCUGGUGUACAAGAAAUUGCAUCAUCGUGUUGUCUUAUUUUAGUUCUCAUGAACACUAAAUGUACAUGUGAGAUCUCUACGUGUUAAUACAUUGCAUCUCGGAAGGUAAGGCUUAUGAUUUCGGAAUGUCUUGCUUAUGUCUCGCUUCAGCUUCUGGCUUUUGUGCCUGAGGCACAGUGGGUCAUCUGAAAAAUUUAGAGGGAUAAGAAAUAAGCAUCAUAAUUAAUGUGUGUAUAAGGCAAGAAAAAUCACCAAAAAUAUAGAUUCAAGCACGAAAAUAAAUUAAUUGUUAAAUUACCAUCCUAUAUGUUAGCAUCCAUUGGCAUAUUAAUACGCUUUCGUUUGCACUGAUUUAGGCGUUUCUUGCUUUGGAAGCCCAUGGUUACAUUUCAUGUAUUGAUUCUGCCAUUUGCGCGAUAGCGCAACGGGUCAUCUAGUAUAAGAAUGUGUAGGGCAGGUGCUAAAAUAUUAUAGGAAGCAUAGUUUCAUAAACAAUGCUUUAUGUGGUCUCAUUAGAAAUCUUUCUAAAGAUGUUUAUGUUCUUCCAAGUCUGACUUGGCUCUCCCUAACCCCUUCUCUACCUCUUUUGUUUAUUCUAGGAUUACCUUACUGAUCAAGGAAUGCUAGCAGGAUUCUUAGUGUUCAAUGCACCAUUGGAUGCUUGUAUCGGGUCCUCCUGCCUUUGUCAGUUUUUCUUAUCUUGCAAGGAUUACCAUAUUGAUCAAGGAAUGCUGGAUGGAUUCUUAGUGUGCAACACCAUGAGAUGUUUGUCUCAGGUCAAGGUCUUUUGAGUGUUAAGAUGCGACUUUGACUUUAAUGUAUCCUUUCUUAACUGCUAUGUAAUAUAAGGAUGUUUCUUGAUUGCGAUAGAUUAUUAUUUUGAUAUGUACUUGUUCCGAUACCACUGAAGCAAUACCUUAUGACACUUGUGUUGUACAGAAAAAUUGUUUGAAAGGGUUGAUGAUGAGUUCUGGUAGAAGCAUUGUCCUGGUCUUUCAAUAACUGGAAAUGCAUCGACAAGCAUUUAUGGUGAUAGCUGGACUUGAUAUCUUGGGUACAAAUAAGGUAUUUGCUACAUGCAGUUCUGUUGGCGCAUCGCUUGUUGUUUCUGGAGUUCAAAUGUUCAUCCUGUUGUGGUCGUGGCACAUAUUCCGGAAGCAAUUCAGUUCGCUAUAGGCCUUACCGAUGGCAUUGUUUAUGUCAUGAUUGGAAGGUUGCAGUUUUUACUUCAUGUUUUAGUUGAAAAUCUGAUAUUUGGAAUGUUGUGAAGUUACAUGUAUUAGGAUUUGUUAUGAUGUGAUAUAUAGAAUUCUGGAUUAUGUAUAUGUAUUACAGGGUGAAUACUUUCCUGGUACAUUUGUACAUUUGGAUUAUGUGCAUACAUUGUUGUUUAUAUUUGCCUUUAUUGUUAA